rnacentral:rRNA from 1 species
UGAGGAAUAUUGGACAAUGGGUGGAAGCCUGAUCCAGCCAUCCCGCGUGAAGGACGACGGUUCUAUGGAUUGUAAACUUCUUUUAUAUAGGGAUAAACCUACUCUCGUGAGGGUAGCUGAAGGUACUAUAUGAAUAAGCACCGGCUAACUCCGUGCCAGCAGCCGCGGUAAUACGGAGGGUGCAAGCGUUAUCCGGAUUUAUUGGGUUUAAAGGGUCCGUAGGCGGGCUAAUAAGUCAGUGGUGAAAUCCUGCAGCUUAACUGUAGCACUGCCAUUGAUACUGUUAGUCUUGAGUAUAUUUGAAGUAGCUGGAAUAAGUAGUGUAGCGGUGAAAUGCAUAGAUAUUACUUAGAACACCAAUUGCGAAGGCAGGUUGCUAAGAUAUAACUGACGCUGAGGGACGAAAGCGUGGGUAGCGAACAGGAUUAGAUACCCUGGUAGUCCACGCUGUAAACGAUGCUGACUCGUUUUUGGUUUGUAAGAAUCAGAGGCUAAGCGAAAGUGAUAAGUCAGCCCCUGGGGAGUACGACCGCAAGGUUGA